rnacentral:rRNA from 1 species
AAGGUAGCGUAAUCACUUGUCUUUUAAAUGAAGACCUGUAUGAAUGGCAUAACGAGGGCUUAACUGUCUCCUCUUUCCAGUCAAUGAAAUUGAUCUCUCCGUGCAGAAGCGGAGAUAAGAACAUAAGACGAGAAGACCCUAUGGAGCUUUAGACACAAAGGCAGAUCAUGUUAAACACCCCCCAAUAAAGGCCCAAACUUAAUGAUCUCCUGUCCUAAUGUCUUCGGUUGGGGCGACCAUGGGGAAACACAAAUCCCCAUGUGGAAUAGGAGG